rnacentral:rRNA from 1 species
GAAUGGGGAAACCCAGUGUGAUUCGUCACACUAUCAUUAACUGAAUCCAUAGGUUAAUGAGGCGAACCGGGGGAACUGAAACAUCUAAGUACCCCGAGGAAAAGAAAUCAACCGAGAUUCCCCCAGUAGCGGCGAGCGAACGGGGAGCAGCCCAGAGCCUGAAUCAGUGUGUGUGUUAGUGGAAGCGUCUGGAAAGGCGCGCGAUACAGGGUGACAGCCCCGUACACAAAAAUGCACAUAUUGUGAGCUCGAUG